rnacentral:rRNA from 1 species
CCACCCCUUCCCAUCCCGAACAGGACCGUGAAACGACUCCACGCCGAUGAUAGUGCGGAUUGCCCGUGUGAAAGUAGGUAAUCGUCAGGC